rnacentral:rRNA from 1 species
AUCUGCCCGAUAGUGGGGGACAACCUGGGGAAACUCAAGCUAAUACCGCAUACGUCCUACGGGAGAAAGCAGGGGAUCUUCUGACCUUGCGCUAUCGGAUGACCCCCUGUCGGAUUAUCUUGUUGGUGAGGUAACGGCUCACCAAGGCGACAAUCCGUAUCUGGUCUGAGAGGAUGAUCACCCACACUGGGACUGAGACACGGCCCACACUCCUACGGGAGGCAGCAGUGGGGAAUAUUGGACAAUGGGCGAAAGCCUGAUCCAGCCAUGCCCCGUGUGUGAAGAAGGCCUUCGGGUUGUAAAGCACUUUCACCGAGGAAGAACGCUUCGGGAUUAAUACUCCCGAGGAAAGACAUCUCUCGCAGAAAAAGCACCGGCUAACUCCGUG